UGGGGAAUAUUGCGCAAUGGCCGAAAGGCUGACGCAGCGACGCCGCGUGGGGGAUGAAGCAUUUCGGUGUGUAAACCCCUGUUGCUCGGGACGAACAAGCCUUUUCGAGGGCUCUGACGGUACCGAGUGAGGAAGCACCGGCUAACUCCGUGCCAGCAGCCGCGGUAAUACGGAGGGUGCGAGCGUUGUCCGGAAUCACUGGGCGUAAAGGGCGCGUAGGCGGUCUGCUAAGCGUGUGGUGAAAGCUCGGGGCUCAACCCCGAGUCGGCCAUGCGAACUGGUGGACUAGAGCACUGUAGAGGCAGGUGGAAUUCCGGGUGUAGCGGUGGAAUGCGUAGAGAUCCGGAAGAACACCGGUGGCGAAGGCGGCCUGCUGGGCAGUAGCUGACGCUGAGGCGCGAUAGCGUGGGGAGCAAACA
rnacentral:rRNA from 1 species